CAGUCGCCGCGGGAAUACGUAGGGUGCGAGCGUUAAUCGGAAUUACUGGGCGUAAAGCGGGCGCAGACGGUUACUUAAGCAGGAUGUGAAAUCCCCAGGCUCAACUUGGGAAUUGCGUUCUGAACUGGGUGGCUAGAGUGUGUCAGAGGGGGGUAGAACUCCACGUGUAGCAGUGAAAUGCGUAGAGAUGUGGAGGAAUACCGAUGGCGAAGGCAGCCCCCUGGGAUAGCACUGACGUUCAUGCCCGAAAGCGUGGGUAGCAAACAGGAUUAGAUACCCCCGUAGUCCCUGUCUCUUAUAA
rnacentral:rRNA from 1 species